rnacentral:rRNA from 1 species
AUGGCGGCAACGGGGCCAGCAAGACACGGCGGCGCGGAGCUGCAGGGGUGCGGCGUUCAAGAGCUUCUUCUUCUGAUCCCCUUCCAUAAACUCCGCCAUCUUCUCCCACAAUCGCCGGAAGCACCGCUCUGGGUCGCGCGCACGGUAGAGGCCAACCAGAUCCAGCCGCUCCUCACAAGGUCCCCAAGGGAACCCGAGGCCGGCACCGCCGCCAUCUCGAAAAACUUCGCUCCGCCGGAGCGGGAGCGGUCACCAUGGCCGUCACCAGAAUCACGAUUUGCAUGCGCGCCGAGAAGGGGCCAAACUGGUUGGCAAAUGGCAAACACAUGCAUUCAUCGACGAAGGGCUCCUUUUUUUGGCUGGAAUAACGAGACUGCUCGUUCUACAACUCAUUUUGUGGGUGGAUGUGAGAAGCAUGACCCAGUCCAAUUGGUUGUGGCCUUUGGGUUUGGUGGCGAGGUUGGGAGUUCGAUCCCUUUGUAUUGGAGAUAUUAUUUUUGCCUGGUGCGCGUGCGCGGCGAGCAGGUAGGCCUCCUUCCUGGGCCAGAGAGAGAAGCCAUAUCUGACAAAAGAGGAGCAAACAUGUGCCGCUCCAACAAGAUUUGCUUGAUGCUGCAAUGCAUGUCACGUGUGCUUCAACUGCCCAACACCGACGGCCAACAGUCAGCCCCAAAUGGACACACCACCGCAGACACCACCCCGACCUCGGCCCCGCCAGCUUCCGACCAACCACUUCACCAGUCUAGGUGCUCCUGCCAAGUGGUCAAAACUUCAAAAGAGCAAUGCUUCCAUUGCAGAAACAACGCCAAGGGUGCUGUAGUCGCUGAUCCGACGAGGCAAGAAUCUCGUCCUCUAUCUAUUGCUGAGUCAUCCCUGCGUAUCGUUCUCAAGCGCUCCCUCCAUCGAGCCAUCCAUGAUCGUAUGAUGGCAAUCAGGCAGCGUGCAAAAAUCCCCUCGUUACGUCAUCAGGACCAGGACUUCCUUGCCCAUGAUCAAAAAGCUUCUAUCCUGAGGGACUUCUAUCAAAAUCUGUUAGGCUGCCCGGCGGUAACUUCUUGGAAUUUUGAUCUAUCUAAUCUUUAUGCUUCCCCGGUGCCCCAACUUCGACAUCUGGAUGCUCCUUUCACCUCUGACGAAAUCAAACUGGCUUUCCUGCACAUGAAUCCCAACGCUAGCCCAGGCCCUGAUGGUUUUGGGCCCUGCUUCUACAACUCGGCCUGGAACUCCAUCAAACGCAAUCUCAUAGCUUUCUUUCAUGACUUUUAUCAUCUUACCUCUCAAACGGAGCGUUUCAACAGAUCAUUCAUUGUGCUUCUCCCAAAGAAAGAUGGUGCUAACACUGCGGAUGCUUUCCGCCCGAUCUCUCUGCAAAACUGCCCAAUCAAAGGCAUCGCCAAGCUCCUCACCAAUCGCCUAAAAACCUACAUCCCUCUGCUCGUUCACGGUGAUCAAACAGGCUUUAUAUCUGGACGGUGCAUUGCUGAAAACUUCAUCUAUGCUGCUGAUUCCCUCAACUGUUGUCAUAAACGCAAAGCUGCUACAAUGCUCAUCCUGUCUGCUGCCUCUGAUCAAACCAACGAGCUACACCACCCUGUAUACAAUGAUCUUCCGCCCUCCAUUCUACAGUAUGCCGACGAUACUGUUAUCAUCGCCCAUGCCUCCACUGCUGCUGCCCGCAAGCUCAAGCAGCUUCUCGACGAUUUUGCCUUGGCAACUGGUCUUUGCAUAAACUUUGCCAAAACUACUUUUGUCCCCAUGAAUGUAGACGAGACAAACGCCUCCGCAAUUGCCCAGAUCUUUGGCUGUGCGAUCUCUAGCUUCCCCCAAACCUAUCUCGGCCUACCUCUAUCCCCCACUAAGCUUCCCCCCUCGGCCUUCCAGCCCCUCCUUUUCUCCUACAGAUCUUUCCUCCUGGGCUGGUGCGCAAAAUUGCUCAAUCGGGCUGCAAGGCUGGUGCUCAUUUCUUCUGUCUUAGACUCUCUCGCUACAUACUUCAUGUCUGUUUUCAAAAUCCCAAAGAAAACGCUAAAGGCGCUGGAUGCCAUUCGACGAGCCUUCUUCUGGGCUGCUGAGGAGACGUGCACGGGUUCCAAAUGUUUGAUUGCUUGGAAAAACGUUUGUAAACCGAAAAAAUUUGAUGGUCUAGGCAUUAAGAAUCUAGCUGUUCAGAAUGACUGUCUCCUUAUGAAGUUUGCUCACAAAUACCUCACCGAUGAAAACACCACUCAGCUACCUUGGAUUGAAUGGUUAGACAAGCAACACCUUUGCAGCCUCUCCCACUUGGCAUCCUGCCAAAACCCUACGUUCCUAACAAAUAUUAUCCAAACACAGCUACAAACACUUCUUCCGAUCACCUUCGUGCUCACCAACAAUGGUCAGAAGACCUUCUUCUGGCUUGAUACCUGGCUACUGCCAACCUCUCUAGCCACUGCCUUUCCGUGCCUUUAUUCCCACUCUACAAAUUUCUUCGUCCCAGUGGUACAUAUCAUGCGAGACGGGUUACAGGAGAACCUCUCGAACAGGAUAACCUCGGCCGCCUCGCGUGAGCUAGAUGCUCUUUGCUUGUUGUUGCAGGAUGUACAGCUGUGGCCAGGACGAAAGGAAGACCUUGAGGACGAUCAUGCUGACCUAAUCUGGAGAUCAAGAGCGCCGCAGAAGCUUAAGCUGUUCGCCUGGCUGCUGUUUCGUGGAAGACUAAACACUCAGAGCAAAUCUGACCUACAAGCACAUAUUUGGGCGCUUUUAGGCCUCUCCACGACUGCCAGGUUCCAGGACCUCUGGCUGGUUCAGCCCCCGCAAGAGCUUGAAUGCAGGGUGUGGGCGGAAGUGCUCCUAGUCGUGCUCUGGAGAAUUUGGGACUCCCGCAACGCUGCUGUCUUCCGCUCUGAAGAUCACUCUUCUCGUUUUACUGCUCAGAACAUUGUAACUGACUUUGAGCUUUUCUCGCAUCGCCUACGAGAUCAUGCUGACAAGGCAGCUGCCAGGACCUACGUCCGGAGUACUGCACACCUGAUAGCGCCCCAAACAUCCCCCACCAUCAAAUGUGGAGCUGGAGCUCCUCACCUCCUAGCAGGUCCAGAUAGCCCCGGCAGACAGAGUAGAAGAGCACCAUCCACACGCACCGGCCCUGGCGGCUAUUACAGGCUAGACGCCGCUGCAGCUCUCCUCUGUUGCCACGGCUGUCCAUGUGACGACAACGAUAGAGACAUGGCUGCCAGCACAUUGCAGCUCCUGUGCAGCGGCCGAUACAUGCCUGGAGGCUUCUCUCCUCCAUUCGCCAGAGCACAGUGCCAUGGGAGAGAAGCACGCAUGGGAGGGAGGGGGUGGGGGUGUAUUAAGGUGGAGACGAGCUAG